GGCACUUAACACCUUUCUUGCUUGGCCAACACAUCUUGUGAAGUGUUUAUCAGAACAGGCAGCUGUGUCUCCAGCAAAAUCUCUAGAAAGCCCGGAUGAAGAAGUCGACGAUCCCCUGUACCUGAUGACAUUAACCAUCCCACAACUGUUUUUGAAGCCGCUCCAGGUUAUGUGGGAUGCUACCAUAUUCGGGGUGUUUAAUCAAAACUUCCCGUUGUAUAUAAAGCACGAAGAUCUCUCUGAAAUUGCACACGGUGGUCAAUGUCUCAGCAUAUCUGUUAUACAGUAGUGGAUUCUCCAUCUGACCGAGACAAGUGUGCGAGCGGGGAAUUCUGAUGUGUAUGGAUUCCUCGAGCCAUAGUCCAUUCAGAGAUCUGGGCAAUCACAAUUUGAAUCUGAAAGUUACAUCAAGAGUUGGAUACAGAGUUCAAAACGAAAUGUUUACCUUGGAGCCUAUCUGAAUGGCGGACACUGGCAAAUGGUCAUCAUUCUGCCUAAGGAAAAC